AUGUGUUUCAUGGUAGCCAAUCAGAGACAGUUUUUUUACACAGAUGCCAGCACACGUGCCAGCGGCGCCAAACACACACACACACACACACACACACACACCUGCGACGCAACAGCUAAACAGAGAUUCGCAGCUGCAGCAGAGAUGGCGAGCCAGGAGCAAUCCGAUGAAAAGUUGGCAUUUUCAAGGGAUGUAAUAAAGUGCUUGGACUCCGAAACGAUGAGGUUGCAGAAAGGGGGAGGGAGGAAGAGAAGGAGGAAGGCCUGAACGAGUGUGAAGAAAAGGCGGAGACUUCCCAAAUACCGACCAUAAAAAUAACAUAGCGGGAGAUACCACUCAGAGUGGAGUUGUGAGAAGAUCAGUAGUUCCUCGUGCGUGCAUGUACAUGUAUUAUAAAUAUUAACACAUUUCUUGGAAUCUAAACAGUCUGUGGGGUAAAUCUAUCUUUCUCUGGCCCUUUUGCAAAAACACACACAUCAUUGCUUAUGCUUGGCUGUUUGGUAUGAAUGUGAGUGGAAUUUACCCAUAAUGCUGAAGCAGGAACUAGUAUAAACAAACAGACACAUAUAUUAUUAGGAAACUCUGAUAAGAAGGGAAGUGUUUAUCUCUGAUAAAAUACAUUUUACUGUCAAAAAUGAAUACUCUGAUUCUGUUCCAAACCUGUGUGAACUGUUUUUUGUCCACAGAUUACUAUUAAAUUCAAUAGGGUUCAGUCUUGUUUGGAUGCCACUGACUUUAUCGUUUGUGUUCUGCAGAAGAAAGUCACAGGUUUUGUUGUGACACGAGGGUGAAUAAUGCAAAAGCACAGAUAAGUAAUCCGAGUAUGGUUAUAAACAUGCAUUUAUUUUCCAUUCUGCAAGGAACUGAUAUUCUAUUUGAAUUUUAAUGUGUAACUAUUCAAAUGAAAAAUUAAGGAAGCUAAAGAGACUGGUCAUUGAAAACUUUCCAGGAUCUUCUUUAAUACUAGUAUAUAGUCUGGAUUUAUUUUAUAGUUCAGUUAACUUUCAUUGUAAUAGUUCUUCAAAAUAUCAGAUAGGAAUCCACUGAUAUAACCACACCUUUUCACAUCAGCACUAAUGAUUUAAAAAAUACUUUGAUUGUCAAAUAAAAACGUGGUUAUCUUUUAAUUGCACAAGCACUUUUGUACUUUUAUGAUUAAAAGUCUGCACUGUAAGUCAGAAAUCUUAUCGUGUCAAGCUCUAUUGGGUACACUCAGGACGUUUAUCAAGGCCUAUUGAUUUUUUUUCCACUUAGGCAUUUAAUGGUUUGUGAGUUACAACUUUUACUAUGUGUUAAUUACCCUCUAAUAUGAGGACGGAGAUCUGAUAAAAGCCUUUAGUUAAAUAGAGAGAAAAUUAAUUAAGAGAGUGGCUAAUCAAUUAAAUAAGUGGAAGCAUACAAGAAAUGCACAAUCUGCAAAAAAAAUUGUAUUGUAACCUUAAACAGAGGGGCAAUAUUAAUUAAAAAGAAUAUAUUUAAAAAAUAAAAUGUAAAUAUAAGAGUUGAACAUAUGUGUUGUGUGCAUUUUACUCCCUGAUUUUUCCAGUGAGGAAUGACCAGGAUUAAUCCAUAAAGAUUAUGAAAAAGACUUUGAUGAGGCAGAUGUUUUAACUGAUCAAAAGAGAAAGCAUAGAGUGACAUCCUGUACACAUUACACACACCUCAAGAUAAGCCUCAGACCUGUUUUUCUGAAAACAAGAGCAGUUGUGGCAUCUUCAUCUGUGUAUGUGAUUAUAUAUAUGACUGGAGGAAAAUCUUGUCUGCAGUAAAGGCCACAUUAAAAACCAUGCAUAUUUGAAUUACAUGCAGCCUGAGGCCAGAGAGAAUACCAAUGGCUUUAUACACACAAGAAUGCGAGGCACAUGUCUGGGUCCAUUUUGUAAAAAUAGUGCUCUUUAAUAUAAAUUAUGGAAAUAUCUUAUAAAUAUAAAUAUGUGCAAAGUUUCUUGCUGCAUUUUCUAUGUUAAUGCCUUUGUUUUCUGAUCUUCAAGCUUGCACUGCGGUCAUCAGACCAGACCUUAAGGUGAGACAUCUUUAUAAAAGACAGAGUAAAAAACAUGCUGUCCUGUUGGUGGCCACACAUGUAAACACCUUGAUUUGACAAAAUAUGAACAACAAAAAAAAAUGAAAAGAGUAAAAGAAUCUACAAGUGAAACCAUAAGCCCUUCCAUAGACUCAUAAUACAUUCAUUGAAUAGCAGACGUCAAGUCCUGCUAGUGAAACAAACACUGUGUCGUUGUUAUUGAAUGAGGAUUUGAAGCACACAAAGUACGAAUGCUUCUCCGUGUGAUCAGAGAAGCACGGUCCUUCAUGUCGAACACCACAGUAAAUAAGUUACUAAAGAUUUUUCAUACUGUGCUUGUAUUUGCUUCACAGUAUAUGAAUGACAAUUCAUAUAUACGCUCAUAUCAUUAACAAUGUUCAGCCUGCCUUAUCCUAGCACAAAUGAAACCACUGUUUGCUUUGGCUCCGGUCACGAACAAAGUAACAACAGUCCACUGAGGGGCCGUCUUCUCCAGAGAGGGCUAAGAGAGGUCAAAGGCCUGCGGUAACAGAUAGGAUCAAUACGUUCGCUCUAGUCCUUUUCCUUGACCCCGCACACAGUCACCGUAGCAGACAGUGUCGGUCGUGAGCGGUAAGUAGCCACCCCGUUUGCGCCCCCACGCCCACUUAUGAGGCAAUUACACUUGGCAAGAAGCAGUGGAAAUGUGUACGUCAUCGCAAAUACCCAGCUCUUGCUCCUUCCUUCCAGGAGAAAGUCAAAAAAAAUG
ensembl:lncRNA